rnacentral:siRNA from 1 species
UGCUUGAUGAAAGGUGUCUUACGU